ACUAAGCGUACACGGUGGAUGCCCCGGCAGUCAGAGGCGAUGAAGGACGUGCUAAUCUGCGAAAAGCGUCGGUAAGGUGAUAUGAACCGUUAUAACCGGCGAUGUCCGAAUGGGGAAACCCAGUGCAAUUCGUUGCACUAUCGUUAACUGAAUACAUAGGUUAACGAGGCGAACCGGGGAACUGAAACAUCUAAGUACCCCGAGGAAAAGAAAUCAACCGAGAUUCCCCAGUAGCGGCGAGCGAACGGGGAGCAGCCCAGAGUCUGAAUCAGCUUGUGUGUUAGUGGAACGGUCUGGAAAGUCCGACGGUACAGGGUGAUAGUCCCGUACACCAAAAUGCACAGGCUGUGAACUCGAAGAGUAGGGCGGGACACGUGGUAUCCUGUCUGAAUAUGGGGGGACCAUCCUCCAAGGCUAAAUACUCCUGACUGACCGAUAGUGAACCAGUACCGUGAGGGAAAGGCGAAAAGAACCCCGGCGAGGGGAGUGAAAAAAGAACCUGAAACCGUGUACGUACAAGCAGUGGGAGCACCUUCGGGUGUGACUGCGUACCUUUGUAUAAUGGGUCAGCGACUUAUAUUCUGUAGCAAGGUUAACCGUAUAGGGGAGCCGCAGGAAACCGAGUCUUAACUGGGCGUUAAGUUGCAGGGUAUAGACCCGAAACCCGGUGAUCUAGCCAUGGGCAGGUUGAAGGUUGGGUAACACUAACUGGAGGACCGAACCGACUAAUGUUGAAAAAUUAGCGGAUGACUUGUGGCUGGGGGUGAAAGGCCAAUCAAACCGGGAGAUAGCUGGUUCUCCCCGAAAGCUAUUUAGGUAGCGCCUCGUGAAUUCAUCUUCGGGGUAGAGCACUGUUUCGGCUAGGGGUCAUCCCGACUUACCAACCCGAUGCAAACUACGAAUACCGAAGAAUGUUAUCACGGGAGACACACGGCGGGUGCUAACGUCCGUCGUGAAGAGGGAAACAACCCAGACCGCCAGCUAAGGUCCCAAAGUCAUGGUUAAGUGGGAAACGAUGUGGGAAGGCACAGACAGCCGGAUGUUGGCUUAGAAGCAGCCAUCAUUUAAAGAAAGCGUAAUAGCUCACUGGUCGAGUCGGCCUGCGCGGAAGAUGUAACGGGGCUAAACCAUGCACCGAAGCUGCGGCAGCGACACUAUGUGUUGUUGGGUAGGGGAGCGUUCUGUAAGCCUGCGAAGGUGACCUGUGAGGGUUGCUGGAGGUAUCAGAAGUGCGAAUGCUGACAUAAGUAACGAUAAAGCGGGUGAAAAGCCCGCUCGCCGGAAGACCAAGGGUUCCUGUCCAACGUUAAUCGGGGCAGGGUGAGUCGACCCCUAAGGCGAGGCCGAAAGGCGUAGUCGAUGGGAAACAGGUUAAUAUUCCUGUACUUGGUGUUACUGCGAAGGGGGGACGGAGAAGGCUAUGUUAGCCGGGCGACGGUUGUCCCGGUUUAAGCAUGUAGGCUGGUUAUCCAGGCAAAUCCGGAUAAUCAAGGCUGAGGUGUGAUGACGAGGCACUACGGUGCUGAAGUAACAAAUGCCCUGCUUCCAGGAAAAGCCUCUAAGCAUCAGGUAACAUUAAAUCGUACCCCAAACCGACACAGGUGGUCAGGUAGAGAAUACCAAGGCGCUUGAGAGAACUCGGGUGAAGGAACUAGGCAAAAUGGUGCCGUAACUUCGGGAGAAGGCACGCUGGUGUGUAGGUGAAGUCCCUGCGGAUGGAGCUGAGACCAGUCGAAGAUACCAGCUGGCUGCAACUGUUUAUUAAAAAACACAGCACUGUGCAAACACGAAAGUGGACGUAUACGGUGUGACGCCUGCCCGGUGCCGGAAGGUUAAUUGAUGGGGUUAUCCGUAAGGAGAAGCUCUUGAUCGAAGCCCCGGUAAACGGCGGCCGUAACUAUAACGGUCCUAAGGUAGCGAAAUUCCUUGUCGGGUAAGUUCCGACCUGCACGAAUGGCGUAAUGAUGGCCAGGCUGUCUCCACCCGAGACUCAGUGAAAUUGAACUCGCUGUGAAGAUGCAGUGUACCCGCGGCAAGACGGAAAGACCCCGUGAACCUUUACUAUAGCUUGACACUGAACAUUGAGCCUUGAUGUGUAGGAUAGGUGGGAGGCUUUGAAGCGUGGACGCCAGUCUGCGUGGAGCCAACCUUGAAAUACCACCCUUUAAUGUUUGAUGUUCUAACGUUGGCCCCUGACCGGGGUUGCGGACAGUGUCUGGUGGGUAGUUUGACUGGGGCGGUCUCCUCCCAAAGCGUAACGGAGGAGCACGAAGGUUAGCUAAUCCUGGUCGGACAUCAGGAGGUUAGUGCAAUGGCAUAAGCUAGCUUGACUGCGAGCGUGACGGCGCGAGCAGGUGCGAAAGCAGGUCAUAGUGAUCCGGUGGUUCUGAAUGGAAGGGCCAUCGCUCAACGGAUAAAAGGUACUCCGGGGAUAACAGGCUGAUACCGCCCAAGAGUUCAUAUCGACGGCGGUGUUUGGCACCUCGAUGUCGGCUCAUCACAUCCUGGGGCUGAAGUAGGUCCCAAGGGUAUGGCUGUUCGCCAUUUAAAGUGGUACGCGAGCUGGGUUUAGAACGUCGUGAGACAGUUCGGUCCCUAUCUGCCGUGGGCGCUGGAGAAUUGAGGGGGGCUGCUCCUAGUACGAGAGGACCGGAGUGGACGCAUCACUGGUGUUCGGGUUGUCAUGCCAAUGGCACUGCCCGGUAGCUAAAUGCGGAAGAGAUAAGUGCUGAAAGCAUCUAAGCACGAAACUUGCCCCGAGAUGAGUUCUCCUGAGACUUUAAGUCUCCUGAAGGAACGUUAAAGACGAUGACGUUGAUAGGCCGGGUGUGUAAGCGCAGCGAUGCGUUGAGCUAACCGGUACUAAUGAACCGUGAGGCUUAACC
rnacentral:rRNA from 1 species